ensembl:lncRNA
GGAAUACUAACAGGCGGUGGGGGGGGGGUCUGAUAUGCAAAAGCGUUGCCAGGUAGACUCAGUUUGAGAAGAAUGUUUCCUUGACUUCCCCCUACGUGUGUGUUUUCAUCCACGCUGAGCGAUUUGGUCCUGCAGCUCCAGUGGAAUGCACCUAUCUGUGUCCAUCAAGGGGAGUUCUGCUUUCCGUGCCACAAGCCGGCGGGCUGAACUUGUUCUCGAGGGUUCACAAUCCUCUGGUGGACCACUGGAUCCGUUUUAGUCAAAUGACUUCAGAGCUGUGAAGUUUGGUAUCAGAUUGGUGUCGACUGAACAAGCGAUGUGUGGGACAACAAGUCAGAAAGCCUUUUCAAGAUGAUCUAAAACUAUGCACGGAGCAGAGGAAGCCCAAACAACUGACUGACUUUAUGGUGUUUGGACUCCUGAAUGAAAACACACUUCAGGAAAUCCGUCACAGGCUUCUCGCUGAGAGAGCAGACCCCCUUCCCCCCCCUCCUGCUGCCCUCUCGCCUGGGACGCCGGGGUAAUUACAUCAUUUGGAGAGGAAUGAAGGAGGAGGAAUGAAAGCACUUUACAAGCGAAAGUACGCGAAAUGCUUUAUUGCUCAUGGAAUUGGCAAUUAAAAAGCAGCACCUGGAACGCACAGGCUCAGCUGAAAAGGGCCCUAUCCCACACCGUGGCACGCUUGGAACCAGUCACCCCCACCCCCUCACCCCCCUCCCACCACCGCGCCACAGAAGCCCCUGGAGAAUGUUUUUCUUUCCAGCUUUUUUAUUCUUUAUUUUGUGAAAAGUUGCUGACAAUGCACCUUCACGUUGGUUGACUUAGCCCAUAAGUCACCGGAGCCUGACGUGCUCUCCAACGUAUUAAUAAAGCCCAUUUCCUACGGAACAUAUGGCGAGGCUAGAACAUCAACCUGCUCGGGCCACGCUACCGAAAAAGAAAACAGUCAUGAAUCUCUCCAGCACCCAGUGUACGUGCCCCUCAUCCAACACACACACACACACACACA